rnacentral:rRNA from 1 species
GUGGGGAAUCUUCCGCAAUGGACGAAAGUCUGACGGAGCAACGCCGCGUGAGUGAAGAAGGUUUUCGGAUCGUAAAGCUCUUUCGUUAGGGACGAACGUGCUCUUUGUGAAUAAUGAGGAGUAAUGACGGUACCUAAAUAAGAAGCCACGGCUAACUACGUGCCAGCAGCCGCGGUAAUACGUAGGUGGCAAGCGUUGUCCGGAAUUAUUGGGCGUAAAGCGCGCGCAGGCGGGAUAUCAAGUCUGUCUUAAAAGUGCGAGGCUCAACGUCGUGAGGGGACAGAAACUGGUAUUCUGGAGUGUCGGAGAGGAAAGUGGAAUUCCAAUUGUAGCGGUGAGAUGCGUAGAGAUUUGGAAGAACACCAGGGGCGAAGGCGACUUUCUGGACGAUGUCUGACGCUGAGGCGCGAAAGCUAGGGGAGCGAACGGGAUUAGAUACCCGAGUAGUCC